AUCGCUGCCAAAAUACAAAAUACUUUUCCCAACACCUAAACUACGUCACUUUACAUAUAUCUUUGGGCGCGAAGUCUAAGUUUCUCCUCAUCCCGCGCCCCCCUUGCAACCACCAAAACCCACCCCCCGAUUCCCUACGGCCUGCUCCUUGCAUUCUCCACUCUCUCUUCGUUCCUCCCUUCUCCGAAAGAGCACAGACACCUUUGAUAAACCCAUUUCAGCCGAACAAAAUCUCCAUUAGAGCCACACCACCCCCACCCCAUUUUCCUCUCACGGAAGUUGAACUAGACUCCAUCUGCAGCCUCUUCCUCUCUUGUCUUCGUAUCUCUCUCUCUCUCUCUCUCUCUCUCUCUCUCUCUCACUCGUGAAAACCCUCUGACUUCGAACCCUAGGGCAUUCAGUUAUUUCCCUCUCUCUCUCUCUCUCUCUCUCUCUCCACCGCAUAUUGAUUGUGGGUUUGGUGCUGUACGUGUUGUGGAAGUUGUUGGAGUUCUGAGUUGCCGACCGCUGGUUGUGAUAUCGAUCGACAGUUAGCUAAAAUUUGAAAGUUCUAGAUCCAGCAUUGCAGCAAUUAGGGUCAUUCGAUGUUAUGAUAUAAGUUUGGGAAAGGAGUAUGGUUACGUUUUGUUUAUAGUGAUGGCAGUAGCCCAUGUGCAGCAAUAGCCUGUCUAACAUCACGCACAUCCUGCUGCCAGAAUGUUGAUAAAUAGGCUGUCUAACAUCACGCACGUGCUGCCGCUAGAACGUUGAUAAAUAGCUUGUAAAAUGGACGUCGAUUGCUUUUGAAGUAUAUUGGCCCUGACCGAGCUUGAGAGAAUUUUUUGGAUCAGCCAUUUCUAUCAGGGGUGAGCCAAAACUUGCAUAGUUGGGUAUUGAAGAUGGACAAAAGUUGGAUAAAUGAGUCCGAUAGACUUCUAUCACCUGCAUAUGCCGAAGGGGUUAAAAAUUUCCUCACACAAGCACAAAACCAUGCAAGUGGACGGGAUCGCAUUCGGUGUCCAUGCCGUACAUGCCUUAACAAUCUGUGGCUGCCUAUAUUUGAGGUGGAAACUCAUUUGUUCAUCAAAGGGGUCAAUCCAAAUUACACCCAAUGGUUAUUUCAUGGGGAGGAGGAUACAAGAUUGUACGUCAGUGACGACGAUAUCUCGAACAAGGUUAUACCUGAAGAUGAUCACAUCGAUGACAUGCAGCAUAUGUUGGAUGACAUGCGAGCAGGCACCUUUGUUGAUGUGCCACAAGAAAACACUGGAUCGUCAAAUAGGCCACCAAUUCCUGAAGAUUCACUAGCAACGUCUUUUGACAAGCUACUGGAGGAUGCCCGACGUCCUCUUUUCGACGGGUGUACAACAUUUACAAAGUUGUCAUUCAUUGUGAAGUUAUUACACAUCAAAUCAAUCGGUGGAUGGUCAAUUAGAUCAUUUGACAUGCUCCUUGAUUUGUUGCGGUCUUCCUUUCCUGAUGCACUCUUACCAUAAUCAUAUGAGGAGUCAAAGUCUUUGGAGUGCGGGUUGGGUUUCAAUUACCAUAAAAUCCAUGCGUGCCCCAACGAUUGCAUCUUAUUCUGGAAGGAAUAUGCCACUCUUAAUGAAUGCCCUGUAUGUAAGGCUUUGAGGUGGAUGCCAAAUACACAUGGAUCACGCGUCAUAGCUCAAAAAGUGUUGCGCCAUUUUCUGUUGAAAUCGAGAUUGCAGCGUCUCUUUAUGUUUGCGAAGAUAGCAGGUGAUAUGAGAUGGCAUAAAGAGCAAUGGGCAAUAGAAGAUAGUAGUAUGAGACAUCCGGCUGAAUCUCAGUGUUGGAAGAAAUUUGAUGAACAUCAUAGUUGGUUCGUUGCGGAUCCUCGCAAUGUUAGGCUCGGACUAGCAAGUGAUGGCUUUACUCCCUUCAACAACUUGGCUAAACCUCAUAGCAUUUGGCCUGUGAUCCUUGUCCCGUAUAACUUGCUGCCAUGGUCAUGCAUGAAAGACCAAUUCUUUAUAACAUCUCUGAUUAUUCCAGGGCCAAGGUCACCAGGGAAUGAGAUCGAUGUUUACUUGCAACCGUUGCUGGAUGAGUUGCUUGAACUCUGGGAAUAUGGGGUACCUACAUAUGAUGCCUCAAGUAAGGAGAUGUCUAGGCUGAAUGAUGCAUUGUUGUGGACAAUCAAUGACUUUCCUGCCUACGGGAAUCUAUCUGGCUGGUCAACAAAGAGAAAAUUAGCUUGUCCGUCUUGUAAUGCUGACACGAACUCCAAUUGGUUGAAAUAUGGCUGAAAACAUUGUUAUAUGGGACAUCGACGUUUCUUAUAGCUAGAUCACAUGUGGAGAAGGAGGAAAGGAUUGUUUAACAGUAAAGAAGAUUAUCACAUGCCACCAAGGGAUAUAGGAGGAUACGAUAUUCUAACUCAAUUGCAGAUGAUUGGGGAUGUGACGUUUGGCAAAUCUCGUAGGAAGGGAAAACAUACUGCUGAAGAGCUGAAUUGGACAAAGUGCAGCAUAUUCUUCACGUUACCUCACUGGUCAACACUUCGACUUCGGCAUAAGUUUGAUGUUAUGCAUAUUGAGAAGAAUAUUGCCGAAAACAUCUUAUUCACUUUAAUGAACAGUUCAGGAAAAACUAAGGAUAAUAUCAAUUCAAGGCGUGACCUGGAGUUAUUGGGCUAUAAAAAAGAAUUACAUUUGAGGAGUGAAGGUGAUCAUGUAACAAUGCCGCAUGCACUAUACACAUUACACGGAGAUGAAAGGAAGAAGUUAUGUGAGUGGCUAGGCGAUAUCAAAUUUCCAGACGGGUUCUCUUCCAAUAUCUCGAACUGUGUUUCUACAUGUGAUAGCAAAAUCACUAGGUUGAAAAGCCACGACUGUCAUGUUUUCCUUCAAAGACUACUUCCAAUUGCUACAAGGGGGUUUUUAAGAAGUGACAUUGCCUUGGCUUUGACUGAACUUAGCACUUUCUUCAAAGAGUUGUGCGCUCGAACACUGGAUGUGAAUCGCCUAUCCCAGCUCCAAAUUGAUAUCGUCACCAUUCUAUGCAAACUGGAGAUGAUAUUCCCUCCCUCCUUUUUCAAUGUCAUGGUCCAUCUAGCUGUCCAUUUGCCCCGUGAGGUUAUACUUGGGGGUCCAGUACAAUAUAGGUGGAUGUACCCAUUUGAGAGAUAUCUAGGCAAAUUCAAGUGGUAUGUUAAGAAUAAAGCCCGACCAGAAGGUUCAACAGCCAAGGCCUACAUUCACACUGAAUGCCUGACAUUUUGCUCCAUAUACCUCCAAGAUGUUGAGAUGAAGUUCAAUUGAGCGGACUUCAACAUUGAUGCUGAUGAAGAGGAAACUAUAGAUGGAUUCUGAAUUUAUAACCAGAAAGUUCGUCCCUUGGGUAUAGCUUCCAAUGUGCAAUUAGAAGAUAAACUCUUUAAGGUAGCCAUCUGGUAUGUGCUCAACAAUUGUUCGGAGAUUGGACCCUCUAUGCAGUAAGCAUCAAUCUCUUUACUACAAAAUCUACUUCCAUUCAAACUUAACAAGUUUUUAUAUAUGCAUGCCCAUAACGCCAAAUAUUUUGCUUUGCGAUUAUGUGCUCCAAAUGUAGGGAACACUACAAGAAAUGUAGGGUGCAACACCCAAACAGCAUCAAUCGCACGCAUCAAACUGAGUUUCCAACUUGGUUUAAGCACUGUAUCUAGGAACAUCGUACCAAGAAUCCACUUGAUGUGUCCGCUGAUCUGUAUGCGUUAGCUUGCGGGCCUGACCGUUGGGUUGCAUCAUAUGAUGCUUGCAUAAUAAAUGGAAAAAGGUUUCAUACGAAGGAUCGUGAACUUCGCUGACGUACACAAAAUUUUGGGGUGUUGUUAACUAGAGACGAGGCCACAAAUAACGCAGACUUUUACGGUUGUCUUAAAAAUAUCAUAGAGUUACGCUACAUGGAGUGGCGUCAGGUGUACCUAUUUGAAUGUGAUUGGUUUGACGUUGGUGAUCAAAAACAAGGGGUGCGGGUGGAUGACCAUAUGAUUAGUGUCAACAUGAACAGGACUUGGUAUAAGGAUGAACCGCUCGUGUUGGCGAGUUAGGCUGAUCAAUGUUUCUACAUAAGAGAUUUAAGGGCAAAAGGGAAUUGGGGUAUUGUGCAGAACUAUACAAAUAGGAAUGUAUACAACAUUCCGUCCAUGUCGAGGAGUGUGGAAGAUAUUAAUAACAAUGGCAAAUCAAGUACUAAUGAGGGCGAUCAAGAAAAUGAAUCAUCAUAUUAUUAUGAACCAGUGCAGUGUGAUAAUGCUGAUCCAGUGUCAACUCCACUGGAUCGGCUUGAUAUACCACCUGGCAAUAUUGAUGCACGAGAAGUCAUGCAUGUGGAUGGUCAAUGCAUAGAUUCAUCCGACUUUAUUAAUGAUGACAUGAUUAAUUCUGGGUUUGAAGAUGCGUGUAGUGAGGGAGAAUAUUCAGAUGAGAAGGACCUAUCCACAGACGAAGAUGUUGUGUCAGAUUUAUAAUUACAAGCUAAGAAAUUCUUUGCAUUAAGGUGAGGGGAAAACAAUACUACGUUGCAUUAAGGCUUCACUGCACAGACAAGUUUUGGUAGGAAUUGCUUUCUCCUACGAGACCAAUUUAUCAUGCAAUCCCAUCUUUAAGCUGGUGGCAUGAGGAGCACUAUUAAUUAUCAAGGAAUGGACCUAACGUUUAUUACAAUUAUUUUGUAAUAAUACACACGCAAGUGACCGAGCGGGACCCAGUUCUAGAGGCGGAGGGAGGCUCUGAGGUAUUCGUGCUAGGCGCCAUGUACCGUACUCAGCUCGCCACAACCGACCAAGGGGAGCGAAAAUCUCCUCAUAUCACAGCCCUGAGGAGUGUAAUCAAUCCUCCUCGGAUGACUCCACACAGCCCCCAAGUCCCCCACCAUCCACCAACCCAAUUCUCACACUAGCGCCUAUUCGAGAAGCCUCACCAGUGCGCGAACAAUCACCUCCUAGAGAAGACGCAAGAUUGGAGGACGCCAGUAUACCACAAACUGUUGCGAUGCCCCCACAGAGCCUGAAGUAAUGCAGCAACAGAGAAAAUGAACUCGUGGGCCCGCUAGAUGCAUCGAGUUUGAGAAGGUGAGAAAGCACAGGAAAGUGCUUUUAAAGAUAAACGAUGGUGAGACAGCCCCGUGUUGUGAGCAUGCUUCUAUGUUCAUGACACGAGUAUCAUGGAUUGUUAAACAAUAUUGUGACAUGAGUUAUGCACGCUGGACUGAUGUCCCAGAAGCCAUGAAAGAGGAGCUCAUUGACCGUGUUCGGGAAAACCACCGAUUGACGGUGACAAAGGCACUUUGUAAGUGCUUCAACUCCUUCCAUCACGAUUUGCACAGGAUUUACCAAUCCUUUGAAAGCCAUGAAGAGGCGUUAGCUAGUGGGACAAGCUUGGUGGACCCCCUUGUAUGGGUCAAGUUGUGUGGCAGGUGGGGCAGUGAUGCCUUUAAGGUGUGCAUGGUAGAAAAUUUCAUCUCAAAACUGGGAGAACUGAAAGAAGCAGGCAAUUAAUCACACAUCAGGAUGUAAAUAAUUCAUCCGAAUACUUGAGCAAAAGCGCGCUGAGAAUGGAAAUUUGGUUGACUUCUAUAAAGAGACGCGCUGGUCGAAGAAGAAGAAUAAGUUUGUGACAGAUGUUACAGAAGAUACUUACGAGAUGACAGGUAGGUUGGAUGGCCUAGAACCAGAGCAACGUAAUGAUGAGCAGCAGCGACUGUCUUUAGGGAGGUCCUUGGCCAUUUACCUGGAUAUGUGAGAGGACUCAGGGAGACGGUCAUCCCCGAGGCAAGUAGACAACGUGACCAACUUAAGAUGCAAUGCUACCUGUCUGAGAUUGAAAGACACAAGAAAGACUCUGAACAACAUAAGAAAGAUGCUGAAGCGUAUAAGAGUCAGCUGGAUGAAAUGAGAUCAGAGAUGCAGGCUCUUAGGGAGCAUCAGAUUCAGACUGACAGAUUGCUUCAGGCUUUCUUUAAGGAUCAUCCUUCAUUCACUUAGUCAUAUCGACAGACUCAGUGUAACGAUUCCCCUGACCCAUAAGGGGGAGGGGGGUCCUAGGUUUUUUGUACUGGAUUGGGUGGUUUUUUGUUAGACAAUAUGACAACUGGACAAUAUAUAUAUAUAGAUAUUACUAUAUCUAUAUAAAUAUAUCUAUCUCAACACCGGGGAGAUGAAUAAUGUUUUGGGUGGCCUCUUUGGGAAAAGUUUUUGAGCAUAUCUUUACACUACAUACCUGAACCUUAUCCCAUAUUACAGUUGUAACGUUAUCUAGUGUGGAACUGUAGAGUUGACAAAGGAAGAAGUUGAGGCAUUGUUGAAUGUAAAGUACAAGGAAUUGCCAGUUUGACUUUUAAGGGGAAAUUGGAACAAAUGAAUAAGCAUAUUAAGAGGCAGACACUUUGCAUCAUAUGGUUCCAACAAAAUGAUGAAAACCAUGUUCUUAGUUUGUAAAAGCUUGAAAGUGUGAUGGAAGCUGUUGGAAAAAGUGCAUGAGGUUGAGAUGAAAAGCAAGGAGGACUCAUACAAGCUUCCAUUUCAGACUUACAAAAAACUGAAUCUUCUUUGGAGGAGAGAGUUGCAAAGGAAUCAGAUAAGCUGGAAUGAGAGCUAUGUAAUCUUUGUUGGAUGAUAAAAGCAGUUAAGCCUACAAGUACAUUUAAUUGUAACUAUGCAAGAGAAAUCAGAAAAGCAGCUAGUACUUCCGUUAUAUAAGAAGAAACUCGGCAGGAGAAAUCAGAUGCAGAAAGUAGGUAAACUCCUUGAUUUUUUAUCUAUGCACUCCUAGGAUUACUCAAAAGAUUUGAAAUUAUGAAAAAAUGACUAUUGUGGAAAACCUUAGCAAAUUUAAGUGCCACAACAAGGCAUUGCAAGAUCAAUUAACUGAAAUUCAAAAUGAUGUACAAGAAGGGAAGUAUUCAUUUAUAUGUCUUGAUUUGCCACCGGUUUCCCAUAUUGAAGUUAAUGAUAUUCAAUAGAGAUCAACCAUUUGUGCAUUAGAGAGGUUUAUUGUUUUUUUCGCUCUAUUAGUCAACAAAGAUCUUGCUUCUUUCUCCAUCGAAGGUAGAAGAAACCCAAAAAGUGCAUCCUGCAAUAUCAACUUUCUCUGCUCAUUCCACAAUUGAGCAGAUUUACUAACACCAUCGCUAAGAUAGUACUCAUUAAAGUCACUUGUCAACUUAUUCAAGUCUUCUUCUACCAUAUUAACAAUAACUUGAAGAAGCUUUUCCUCUUCAGCCUUCUGGAUAAGGAGCCAUUGUGCAUCAUCAAAUGCACUCAAGGGCUUCUCGCGCAACCACUUAACCUCAGCAGACUGAUGAAAAGGAUCUAUUGCUGCAAGGCCAUUGUGUGUUGGACAUGUUGAUACCAGAGCAUGAUCCAUAAAAUUGCUACACACAUGUUUCCUAACGCAUGGCUCACGUACAACUGAUUUCCACAGCUGCCUGGACCAGUAAAAGAAAUUUGGCAGUCAAAAUAUUUUCCCUAUGAUCAAGUAUCAUAAAGGGAAACUGCUACAUUGAUGACAAGAAACUAACAUACCAUGUGCCUAGCCCCUUUAAGCACAGCUUGAGGUGUCUCAAACAUGGCACAUGUAAAGUUUGAUGCCAUCUCCUCUGGUGUUUCCUUAGGAUCCUCCAACUCGUCAUUUCUCUACAAUCCAGUGAAACAGAACCCUGAGUUUCAUUCAACAGAAUAACAAUUUCAGGUCAAAGUGACUCACCAUCUUUUCUAAAGAUAGCUGCAAUCCAAAUUGCUCAGAACUAUCGUUCAAACCCACUGCUUGCUGUUGAUGCCUCUCUGUUGGUUUAUCAUGUUAUUCUAAUUUGCUCGUCUCAACUGUAAGCACAUAUUCGUGAAGCUAACAUCUCUCAUCUGUCAUUUGCAUUGAGCUUGCUGAAGAAUUUUACGGGAGGUAUACACAUCUCCAAGUCCUUUACUCCACAUUUUAUGUCAUUAUAGGAUGUAUGUUGUCAAAAGUAUUGCUGAAAAUUUACCUAUAAAAAAAAAAGUAUUGUGAAAAGUAGUUUGGAAUGCCCUACUUUUAGAUACUAGACUAACUUGUUUAUUUGGUUUGAAUUACAACAAUACUCACAUGGGGAAUAGAGUGAAGGUAAUCUCCUAGCCCAUCUAAUGUCGCUUCUAUUGUUAUUUUUCUUGUGUUGAAUUUUACUACUAAUACUUUGUUAUGCAUUUGAAUGGCUGGAUACUUUCAUAGGGGCAAGAUGUUGCCUUUGAACCUGCCAAACUUUUGUGGCUUAUCCAGUGUGAUUUUCUAUAAGGGAAGUCUGUGCAAGAAAUGGUGGAUGAAGCUCUUCGACAUGUCCCAAAUAAUGAUGGGGACAAAAACAUUGAAAUGGUUAAUCAAAUUAGGGACUCAUUGGCCAUUAUGGGUGAUAACAGCACAACCUUUAGCUUGCCACAAGCUUGUGACCUUUAUUGUCAUGGAUGUUGGGAAAGCACCAAACUUUGACCAAUCACGGUCAUAUUGAGAGAGAGAGAGAGAUGUGCAUCCGGUUUCUCUUCUUUCUAGCAAAGUUAUCAGCCCCAUCUCCAGCUCACAAAGCCUUGUGACAUGAAGGAUGGUGAACUUGAUCCUAUAUAUGUCAUCAUCAAGGUUUGACAGCAACCUCCCAUAGGCCAGCUUUCACACAGAUGCUAUACAGGGAUUUCCUCUUAGGCCUCUUGUAUUGUCCGUCAUCAACACCAACUUCACCGGACGGGAAAUGUGAUGAUUGUUCUUUCCGCUCUUGUUGGCUGGGCUACUCCAAAUCUAAGUAAGAGUCACACUUUUCUUAUAAAAUUAACUAGUUUUAGUAUGAUUUAGUACUUUAUGCAUGAAGAAGCAGUUCAGAUAUCUGAUUAGUGGGUUUUUUUUAUUACUGUAAUAUGAAGGAUGUUUUGUGUUAUAUGCUGAAUGUCAUACAGAACCUAGAUAAUAAGUUAGAUUUGAAUAUGAGGUCUCUGGUUAUGGAAAUUGUAAAGUUUGGAAGCUAUUGAAAGCAUAUUCAGGCAUAUGGCACUUAUAAAAGGGGAAAAAAAAAAGGAAAAAGGAAAGAAAGAAUAACAGGCAUAUGGUAAAACCCUAUAGAAGGAAAACUUUCCGGUCUUUUAUUUCUUGGUUGUUGUGCAACCAAUAUAUUUUACGAGGUUGAUAAAAAAAAGGCUGAUAUUGAUUUUUCUUAGAAAUGCGAGUUAGACCAGAUUUUCUUCCUAUUGGACAUGUCUUGUUCACGAUGAAUAAGUUUCAGCAUAUAAAAUUGUAGCCCACUGCACAUAGAGUAAAGGUAUAUUAUCGCAUUGGUUUUGGCUUUGUAUCACCUUGAAACGCUUUCCGAAUCAAAACGGGGAAGUGUUCACUAGUCCAAGAAAGAUAAACCUAAAGUACAGCAAGUAGACCUCAACAAAUAUUCCUUCAUAUUUUAGAACAAUGGUUUAUAUCAUACUCAAUACAUGUGAUACCUAAACAGUUUUUCCCAUCAAUGUCUCUUGGCAACCGUUCUAGAUGCCCAAGAAAUUUGAUAAUUGGGACACCCAAUUUGUAUAUAGCAUCAACUUUCAAAAUUAUUGAUUACAUUUAAACAUGAUAGGUUAUGGUUUAAUUAGCGGUGCUCACCACAAUUCUAUUUCUAUAAGCGAAAUUGUGGGACUAGAGUAGCUUAAUACUUUUAUUUUUUAAGCAAAAGUUUCUCACAACACAUGAUGUUGCGCUUCCUCUAAUUGCUUCUUGAAAUCUUGCUUGAACCUUUCCAUAUCAGUUAUGACCUGCAUUAAAAUAUAACAGAAAGUAUAUGUCAAUGAACGGAUGCAUGUUUUUCUCAUACUUGUAUCCUAAUUCUCUAGAAUCUUUUUCCCAAUCUUACUAGUCAUGCAGAGUAUCAAGGUUUUGGGAAACCCAAAUAGGUAAAUUUUCCCUAUCUCCAUUUAAUGAGUAUUGGAAGCCACUUGGAACUGUUACUUCAUCAUGCUUGAGAGAUGGCACUUGAAAAUUAUUUGAUUUUAGACAUUAUUGGCAAUGGAGUUGCUUGCCUUCACUUAGCUCUUGAAGUUGCUGGCACAGGCUUCUAAAGCUGAUAUUGCAGGCUGGCUCGAAACCAAAGUGUCUUGGUGUUGACACUUUGAUUAAUACUAAAACACUAGAGGUGAUAAGGUUUAUUUCAAAGGUGCUUUUACUUGCAUCAGGGGGGGUUGGACAUACCUAUCCAUCGAUGACAAAUCCUCAGGCAUCGAACAAUUCUACUGUUCUGAUUCCAUGCAAAAGAUCAGAAGAGGAUUUGGUAUUGGCGGGGUGAUAUGGCCAACCCCCGAUUGGGCUGACAUCAACAUCAGUUUGCUAUCUUCGUGUUCACCACCUUUCUGGAUAAAAGUGAUAUGUAAAACUGUGGGUGGGACUGUUGGUGAAAAGUCCUGAACUAAUAUGAGAUGUUUUACUUGGUAGCUGUUGGUUUUAGUGAGAGUAGAGUCUUCAAAUAACUUAUACUAGUGAUAUUUAUCUUUUAUAUAAUUACUAGCUCAGUUUAUAAUUGAUAUGAUUUGUAUAAUGCACCACCCAGUGUAAAAAGAUAUUAUAUGAUUGUUGGUUGAAUUGACACAUUGAGAAAUUAUUGAAUUGAAUAGAAUGGUUAAGGAUA